GUGGGGAAUAUUGGACAAUGGGCGAAAGCCUGAUCCAGCCAUGCCGCGUGAGUGAUGAAGGCCUUAGGGUUGUAAAGCUCUUUCAGUAGGGAAGAUAAUGACGGUACCUACAGAAGAAGCCCCGGCUAACUUCGUGCCAGCAGCCGCGGUAAUACGAAGGGGGCUAGCGUUGUUCGGAUUUACUGGGCGUAAAGCGCACGUAGGCGGAUUGGUCAGUUAGGGGUGAAAUCCCAGAGCUCAACUCUGGAACUGCCCUUAAUACUGCCAAUCUAGAGUCCGGAAGAGGUGAGUGGAACUCCUAGUGUAGAGGUGGAAUUCGUAGAUAUUAGGAAGAACACCAGUGGCGAAGGCGGCUCACUGGUCCGGUACUGACGCUGAGGUGCGAAAGCGUGGGGAGCAAACAGGAUUAGAUACCCCUGUAGUCC
rnacentral:rRNA from 1 species